GCCUGCUUGAUGGUUCUGAUGCUGUCGUAUGCUCGUAAGGCGUUAACGCUCGGUUGAAAGUUAUCUUCUUCUGGGUUUUCGUCUCGGAAAGUUCUUCGAAACUGGGGAUAAAACGUUUUGUAAAGAUUAGUACCCUCGUCAUAGUAGGUCUUGAUUCCUAAAAUGCCUUGCAUGGAAGAAAUCACCGAACUGUUAAAAGAAUCGAAGUAAUUCGAGAUGGUAUUCGUAGUGAUCCAUGCUGAGUCUCUUCCAAUAAGUCCAAUCUCCUUUGCUUUUUCAAACAAAUGGAUUGUCAUCGGUAAUGACGAUUGAAGAACAAUGUAAACCCGAGAUUGAACGUUAAAUAAUUUUAUCAACUCAUCUUGCACAACUUCGUUUGGAUUAGAAACAGAAGAAAACGGAGGAAGAACUAAUCGAUAUUCAAUCUCGGAACCAACAUCGCUUAGAGCCUCCGAUAGAAGAGCUAACUUCCCAGAAUCACCACCAAAGGCAUCAUCUUCAUAAAUUACAACAACCCUUUUCCAGUUAAAUGAACUAAUAGUAGCUGCAAUGCAUUUCAUUUGUUCGGAGUCACCAUUAGCCAUUGUUACCAAGAAAGGCCAACGAGAGGGUGUUAUUAGAGCUGGUGCUGCAAAUGAAAGAACCGGAACUCGAGCACGGCUUCCUAUAUCAGAAACCAAAGCUGCUUCUUCCCAUGUUUCCAACCCAAUGAUUGCUAUAACUUCUUGUUCUUCAAUCAAUUUCUUAGCUGUAAUCAGAUUAACCAUUAGUAAAUAUUAAAUAAACCUCGUUGACAUACUAAGGGAUCGCUAAAAAUAAUGAAUCACUAACCAGCAGUAGCUGCAAGUAAGGGAUUUCUUCUAGAAUUCUGAAUAUAAAGGGAGAGCUUAUGGUUGUUUGAAACAUCGUUAUUAAAACUCUGAACUGCAAAUUCAAAAGCUGCUUUCUCUUCUUUUCCAAUUCGAGAAUCGACGUCUAUGAUGGCACCGAUGUUAUAAUUAGUCACCUUGUUACCGGUCUUUUCACCAUAUGGAGAGACGAGAAAGAGAGAUAUGAACACGAAAGUGAUACGACAAGGUCGUUGCAUGUUGUUAGGGAACUCAUAAAAUAAUUGAAUAUAUGAUACAUGGAGGAACUCAAAGCAUUUAAAAGCUUGAGGAACAUCCUAGCUCUCAGGCUUCACCGGAUCUAUCAUGGAUAACCCUGUUGCUACAUAUGGCUGAGUAAAUUCCACUAAAGUUGGUCUAUUAGCUAGGAUAGUUAUGUCACCUACAGCUGCAUCAUAAGUCUUCCGUUGAUUUUUUGUACACACAUAAAAAAAAUAAUAAAAUAAAAAAAUAUCUCAUUAGAGACAAAAAAAGCAUUUAAUUCAUUUACGUGAGUGUCAUAGUUUCUUUUUCACAUCAUUGUCUAAAUAUGAACUCAAAGUUUGACAACUUACCUACGAAAUUUCCUGGAAAUAUAAUGGAAUUAUAAGAGAUUUCAGGAAAAACAAAUCAAGGUAAUUAAAGUAAGAAUAAGAAGUUUCUGGGCUAUUGCCUUGUUGUUUUACUUUGUUGAAUUGCUUUCACUGUAACUUGUAAGAAACUCCUUUUUAUUUGUUUAACAAUGAUAAAUAGAUGACUCAUUAUGGUUAAAUUAUAUGAAUAUUUUCUAUCAUAAUCACAAAAAUUGCGAUUAUUAACAAAAAAAUAUUGAAAAAAAAUGGAGUAAGAGAAAAAGGGUAUUUUACCUUGUUGUAGACUUUGUGAACAAGUUCAUCAUAUGUGCCAUUGUGGGGAUCAAAUUGAUAAAUUAAAUCAAAAUCGAGAACAGUUAGAACUUCAUAGAAAAUGUUCAAUGCAGAAACCAUCAUAUAUCUUUUGGCCUGGAUGUUUACCAUAGUCAACCUUUACAAAUUUCUCAAAUGCGGUUCUUGCUGGAACUCCAAUUAUCAUUGGUUUCUUAUUUGUUGGGAUUGCCCAUCCUUUAGGAACUAGCUUUGAAUCAUCUGGCCAAAUGACUGUACCAGUAAAAUCUGCAGAUUUAUUACCAACAUAACCAAUGUUCUUUGAGAAACCAAUCCCUGGCAACCAGAAAUCCAACUCAUUAUAACUUUUUCCAAUCACGUUUACAAUCCUUAGUAUAGGAUCGUGUGAUAAUUUGCGUUGUUGAAAGUGAAUUUCGCCGCUUAAACCUGUGAAAUUGCUUGAAAGUAUGUUUUUCAACAACGAAUCUGGGCUGUUUUCAUCACUAUCCAUGGCCUGCUUGAUGAUUCUGAUGCUGUCGUAUGCUCGUAAGGCGUUAAUGCUCGGUUGAAAAUUAUCUUCUUCCGGGUUUUCGUUUCGGGAAGUUCUUCGAAACUGGGGAUAAAACGUUUUGUAAAGAUUAGUACCCUCGUCAUGGUAGGUCUUGAUUCCUAAAAUGCCUUGCAUGGAAGAAAUCACCGAACUGUUAAAAGAAUCGAAGUAAUUCGAGAUGGUAUCCGUAAUAAUCCAAGCUGAGUCUCUUCCAGUAAGUCCAAUCUCCUUAGGUUUUUCAAACAAAUGGAUUGUGUCAUCGGUAAUGACAAUUGAAGAACAAUGUAAACCCGAGAUUGAACGUUGAAUAAUUUAUCAACUCAUCUUGCACAACUUCAUUUGGAUUAGAAACGGAAGAAAGUGGAGGAAGAACCAAUCGAUAUUCAAUCUCGGAACCAGCAUCUUGUAGAGCCUCCGAUAGAAGAGCUAACUUCCCAGAAUAACCACCAAAAGCAUCAUCUUCAUAAAUUACAACAACCCUUUUCCAGUUAAAUGAACUUGAUGAAGUUGGUUCAGCAUGCAGCAAACUCGACAGCAUGCAGGCCAUGAAGACCAAGACAUGCAGGAGCUGCUGAUGCAAGCUUAUUUUAUUUAUUUUGUAAUUUCUAGUCAAUGAAAUGUAAUCUUAGUUCAUUUCUAACUAAGUUAGGUUGUUGACUGAUGUAAUUAGCUUAUGUAUGAGCUGUAAACACAACUUUGUAUAGGUUUACAAGCUAAAAUUUCAAGUUUCCAUGUAAUUAGUGGGAGUAGGUGAUGUUUAGGUAAUUAUUUGCUGUUUUUGACAAGCUUAGUGCUUGGUUUAUGUAUUGGCAUUAUGCCAUUAUUCAAUUUUAUAAAUGAAGUUCAGUUUGUUCAUCAA
rnacentral:lncRNA from 1 species